AAAUCAUUUCCUCUUUAAACGAAAAAGAUGUUAAAAACAUAGAUAAUUCCCCAAAAUCUCAUGGUCCAAGUUCCUACAAAUCCUCUUAUGAUCUCAACAAAAGAAAGAAAGACACCUCGAAAACAACAAUACAAGAUAUUAGAAUUGAAAUCAAAGAAGUAAAAAAUGAUCUAAAAAUCCUCAAAGAAAAAAAAGACAAGAUUCUGAAUAUUUUCACUCGAUCAUAUCUUCCAUCAAAGAUCCUCAUGAUUCUAGUUAGGAAGAACAAGAAAAUGAUUGCUUAAAUAAUAAAGAUGAAAAUAUCAAAGAACAAAUUCAAUCUCUAGAUAUGGCCCCUAAUGAUUUCCUUUUCGUUCUACGAGAAAUAACCUCUCGAAAAUAUAAAAUUAGAGUUACCAUUGUUUUUUCAAAGUACAAAAUGGACACAAUUGCUUUGUUCGACACUGGUGCAGAUCUUAACUGUAUCAAGUCUGGGCUUGUUCCAAAAUGUUUUCAUCUAGAAACUAAAAAACUAUCUGCUGCAAAUAACUCUAAACUUCGUAUAACAUCUAAAGCAGAAGCUUUAAUAUUAAAAGAAAAUAUUCUUAUUAAAACUGCAUUCGUCUCACAGAUGAUAUAUAGCAAAAUGUUAAUUAGGAACACCAUUUAUUAAUUUGAUCACACCAUAUAAAGUUAUGGAUGAUAAAAUUUCCUUUAAAAAUCAAAACAUAAAAUUAUCUUUUAAAUUUCUCGAAACACCAAAAAAGCGAAGUCUAAACUUAAUAAAAUCUUGUUCAAUACAAGAAAACUUUCUAAACUCUUUAAUCCAUAGUAAAACCUUUUCCACCUGGAACAUUUAAAAUCAGAAGUUUUACUUCAAAAGACCUUAGAAACCUUAAAUUCAAAAGAUAUAAAAGAGAAAAUUUCGAACUUAAAUAAAUUAUUUGAGAAAGAAAUUUGUUCAGAUUAACCAACUGAUUUUUGGAAUCGAAAACAACAUAUUGUUGAUUUACCUUAUGAUGAAAAUUUUCUUGAAAAAGAGAUUCCCACAAAAGCUCGUCCAAAUCAAAUGAACUCAGAAUUAGA
rnacentral:lncRNA from 1 species